GACGAACGCUGGCGGCGUGCUUAACACAUGCAAGUCGAACGGUGAAGCUCCAGCUUGCUGGAGUGGAUCAGUGGCGAAAGGGUGAGUAACACGUGAGCAACCUGCCCCUGACUCUGGAAUAAGCGCUGGAAACGGCGUCUAAUACUGGAUACGAGAAGGGUCCGCAUGGGCACUUUCUGGAAAGUUUUUCGGUUGGGGAUGGGCUCGCGGCCUAUCAGCUUGUUGGUGAGGUAAUGGCUCACCAAGGCGACGACGGGUAGCCGGCCUGAGAGGGCGACCGGCCACACUGGGACUGAGACACGGCCCAGACUCCUACGGGAGGCAGCAGUGGGGAAUAUUGCACAAUGGGCGAAAGCCUGAUGCAGCGACGCCGCGUGAGGGAUGACGGCCUUCGGGUUGUAAACCUCUUUCAGCAGGGAAGAAGCGAAAGUGACGGUACCUGCAGAAGAAGCACCGGCUAACUACGUG
rnacentral:rRNA from 1 species